UACGUAGGGAGCAAGCGUUGUCCGGAAUUACUGGGCGUAAAGGGCGCGUAGGCGGGGUUAUAAGUUAGGUGUGAAAACGUAGGGCUUAACUUUACGAUUGCACUUAAAACUGUAAUUCUUGAGUACAGGAGAGGAAAGUGGAAUUCCUAGUGUAGCGGUGAAAUGCGUAGAUAUUAGGAGGAACACCAGUGGCGAAGGCGACUUUCUGGACUGUAACUGACGCUGAGGCGCGAAAGCGUGGGGAGUGAACGGGAUUAGAUACC
rnacentral:rRNA from 1 species